GACAGGGGGUGCAAACGUUGCUCGGAAUUACUGGGCGUAAAGCGCACGUAGGCGGUUCUGUAAGACGGGUGUGAAAGCCCUCGGCUCAACCGAGGAACUGCGCCCGAUACUGCAGGGCUUGAGGACGGGAGGGGAGAGUGGAAUUCCUGGUGGAGCGGUGAAAUGCGUAGAUAUCAGGAGGAACACCAGUGGCGAAGGCGACUCUCUGGUCCGUUCCUGACGCUGAGGUGCGAAAGCUAGGGGAGCAAACGGG
rnacentral:rRNA from 1 species